AACGAACGCUGGCGGCGUGCCUAACACAUGCCAGUCGAACGAGAAAGGGGCUUCGGCUCCGAGUAAAGUGGCGCACGGGUGAGUAACACGUGGGUAACCUGCCUCUAAGAUUGGGAUAACUCGUCGAAAGAUGAGCUAAUACCGAAUAAGACCACAGUUCCCGCGGGAACAGGGGUCAAAGGUAGCCUCUGCUUGCAAGCUAUCACUUAGAGAUCGGCCUGCGCACCAUUAGCUAGUUGGUCGGGUAACGGCCUACCAAGGCAAAGAUGGUUAGCUGGUCUGAGAGGAUGAUCAGCCACACUGGAACUGAGACACGGUCCAGCCUCCUACGGGAGGCAGCAGUGGGGAAUAUUGCGCAAUGGGCGAAAGCUUGACGCAGCAACGCCGCGUGAGUGAUGAAGGCCUUCGGGUCGUAAAGCUCUGUCGGGAGGAACGAAUGCUCCUGAGGUUAACAGCCUCGGGAGGUGACGGUACCUUCAAAGGAAGCACCGGCUAACUCUGUG
rnacentral:rRNA from 1 species